ACGAACUUCCGUUAAUUGAUUAUGACGUACUUGUACUGAUUGAGAUUUUAACACGAAGUGAGUGGCGAACGGGUGAGUAACACGUGGGUAACCUGCCCAGAAGUAGGGGAUAACACCUGGAAACAGAUGCUAAUACCGUAUAACAGAGAAAACCGCAUGGUUUUCUUUUAAAAGAUGGCUCUGCUAUCACUUCUGGAUGGACCCGCGGCGUAUUAGCUAGUUGGUGAGGUAAAGGCUCACCAAGGCAGUGAUACGUAGCCGACCUGAGAGGGUAAUCGGCCACAUUGGGACUGAUACACGGCCCAGACUCCUACGGGAGGCAGCAGUAGGGAAUCUUCCACAAUGGACGCAAGUCUGAUGGAGCAACGCCGCGUGAGUGAAGAAGGGUUUCGGCUCGUAAAGCUCUGUUGUUAAAGAAGAACGUGGGUAAGAGUAACUGUUUACCCAGUGACGGUAUUUAACCAGAAAGCCACGGCUAACUACGUGCCAGCAGCCGCGGUAAUACGUAGGUGGCAAGCGUUAUCCGGAUUUAUUGGGCGUAAAGCGAGCGCAGGCGGUCUUUUAAGUCUAAUGUGAAAGCCUUCGGCUCAACCGAAGAAGUGCAUUGGAAACUGGGAGACUUGAGUGCAGAAGAGGACAGUGGAACUCCAUGUGUAGCGGUGAAAUGCGUAGAUAUAUGGAAGAACACCAGUGGCGAAGGCGGCUGUCUGGUCUGCAACUGACGCUGAGGCUCGAAAGCAUGGGUAGCGAACAGGAUUAGAUACCCUGGUAGUCCAUGCCGUAAACGAUGAUUACUAAGUGUUGGAGGGUUUCCGCCCUUCAGUGCUGCAGCUAACGCAUUAAGUAAUCCGCCUGGGGAGUACGACCGCAAGGUUGAAACUCAAAAGAAUUGACGGGGGCCCGCACAAGCGGUGGAGCAUGUGGUUUAAUUCGAAGCUACGCGAAGAACCUUACCAGGUCUUGACAUCUUCUGACAGUCUAAGAGAUUAGAGGUUCCCUUCGGGGACAGAAUGACAGGUGGUGCAUGGUUGUCGUCAGCUCGUGUCGUGAGAUGUUGGGUUAAGUCCCGCAACGAGCGCAACCCUUAUUACUAGUUGCCAGCAUUAAGUUGGGCACUCUAGUGAGACUGCCGGUGACAAACCGGAGGAAGGUGGGGACGACGUCAAAUCAUCAUGCCCCUUAUGACCUGGGCUACACACGUGCUACAAUGGAUGGUACAACGAGUCGCGAGACCGCGAGGUUAAGCUAAUCUCUUAAAACCAUUCUCAGUUCGGACUGUAGGCUGCAACUCGCCUACACGAAGUCGGAAUCGCUAGUAAUCGCGGAUCAGCAUGCCGCGGUGAAUACGUUCCCGGGCCUUGUAC
rnacentral:rRNA from 1 species